rnacentral:tRNA from 1 species
UUCUUAAAAUUACUUAAUGUGUUUUAUGUAUCGUCUUUGAAUUUGAACAGUUUUCCAUCAUGUUACCGUUUUCAGUAAACUUUAGUAUUGAUAAAAAACCUUAAAAAAACAAGAUAGCAUGAAAGAUAUGAAGUCAACUUUCUUUCUACUCCUCUUCAUAAGUUUAAAUUUGAUUAAAAAGCUUCUCUUGAAUCAUCAACAUGCAUAAAGUGUUAUAAUACAAAACCGACCUUAGCUCAGUUGGUAGAGCGGAGGACUGUAGUUGACGCAGAUAAUCCUUAGGUCACUGGUUCGAAUCCGGUAGGUCGGAUCAUUAAAAUUGAAAGUU